AAAGUCGUAACAAGGUUUCCGUAGGUGAACCUGCGGAAGGAUCAUUAUCACGUAUCCACGUAUAAACCAAUGUUGAACUGUCAAUAACCUUUGGAGAAUUAUUUUAAGGUAGUGUGUGUUUAGAUAUUUAAGCGUUUUUUGAAGUGAUUAAACGUUGUCUAAAUAUACCAACAAUUUCGAUUGUGCUUUAAUUUCUCUAGAGUUGUAUUAAUCACUUUAUUAUUAACCAUUAUAACAACAUCAUUAUAACUUUUGAACUAAAUUAAUUUAUACUCUCUCACGAGAGAUAAAUACAAAUUACGAAACUAAAAGAACAACUCUUAGCAACGGAUAUCUUGGUUCUC
rnacentral:misc_RNA from 1 species